AGUUACUCCUUACGGGAGGCAGCAGUGGGGAAUAUUGCACAAUGGGCGCAAGCAUGAUGCAGCGACGCCGCGUGAGGGAGGACGGCCUUCGGGUUGUAAACCUCUUUCACCCAUGACGAAGCGCAAGUGACGGUAGUGGGAGAAGAAGCACCGGCCAACUACGUGCCAGCAGCCGCGGUAAUACGUAGGGUGCGAGCGUUGUCCGGAAUUACUGGGCGUAAAGAGCUCGUAGGCGGUUUGUCGCGUCGUCUGUGAAAUCCCGCAGCUCAACUGCGGGCUUGCAGGCGAUACGGGCAGACUCGAGUACUGCAGGGGAGACUGGAAUUCCUGGUGUAGCGGUGAAAUGCGCAGAUAUCAGGAGGAACCACCGGUGGCGAAGGCGGGUCUCUGGGCAGUAACUGACGCUGAGGAGCGAAAGCGUGGGUAGCGAACAGGAUUAGAUACCCUGGUAGUCCACGCCGUAAACGGUGGGCGCUAGGUGUGGGUUUCCUUCCACGGGAUCCGUGCCGUAGCCAACGCAUUAAGCGCCCCGCCUGGGGAGUACGGCCGCAAGGCUAAAACUCAAAGGAAUUGACGGGGGCCCGCACAAGCGGCGGAGCAUGUAAAGGAAUUCGAUGCAACGCGAAGAACCUUACCUGGGUUUGACAUGUACCGGACGACUGCAGAGAUGUGGUCCCCC
rnacentral:rRNA from 1 species